rnacentral:tRNA from 1 species
AUCCUUGGAACUUAGUGGUAGAGUCGGUAUUUAAAACCGGACGCCCGGGUUCGAUUCCCGGCAAGGGUA